GUUAAAAUGUCGGAUCAAAACUUGUCUAUGAAUGUGAUCUUAAAGCUAUACGCGAAAUUAUGAAAGACUUUGUUUCUACCACAGAAUAAGAGCAUAAAACAAGAAUGUUCUUCAGGUUCCUGUUACUGAUUCACGUAUGUAGAGCCUUUCCAUUACAAUGCCCAGAACCAGCACAGUGGUCAAUUCGAGCAAGAGGUCUGUGUCCACAACCAUCAAAGUAUUCCUGCCUCAAGAAUGAUCUAAUUGACGGAUUUUCUGAAAAUUGCACAAUAUCUGAUUUCCAGGCGCCAGGUAGAAAAGGUGUUCUUCGUGGAGGAUUAGAUGCAGAUAUUUGUUCGCAGGAGAGGUACCAUCCAUGGCCUAUAAAAUUUUAUACAAAUGUUAGUACCAACUGUAUCUUUCUUAAGUCUGUAUGCAAUG